CCGAAUAAAAUUUCUUUUCACGAUUAAUUUGAUGUAACGUGAAGGGAAAACCUGAACAAGGGGUAAAUGGAUGGAAUGAAUUUGUGAAGGAGAAAGUUCAAGAAAAGCUAAAGAUUGUAUCAAAGUCGAUAAGAGUUAUAGCACGACUAAUAUUCGCAUUUAAAACCUAGGACAAGAACUUUAGGAAACAAAACUAUGUUCCAGCUUUGGAACACUAUAGGAAUAUAAUUUCCAACAAACUUCCAGCUUUGGAACACUAUAGGAAAUUUUCCAAAAAUCUUCUAGAGGAAAAUAAGACUUUCUCUUAUUCCUUUCCAAAACGAGCGUUUCGAUACGAAACUCUAGGAUGUACGAACGUCUGAUUCCGAUACUCGGAAGUUUGCCGAAACGGAAUCCCUGAUAGUUCAGAAACCCUAAAAUCGACGGACGAUGGAGACUUUUCUACUCGGGGCUUCAAAUAAAGAUUUCAUCCGCGGAUGCUCACUCUAAUCGACGUUCCAAAUCUUUCUUCAGAAGGAAGUUUCUGCAUCCGAGGUCAAUAUCAUAAAGUGCAUAAAGUGCAUUUUUAAUGCCGGUAAGCAUUAAAAACAAGCCUCGAAAACCAAAAAUCAUACUGAUAUUUCUUUGAAGAAUUAGAAGAUUCAGCGGGAAGAAUAUUGUGUCUAAAAUACGUUGGAAUCAGUAGGAAAAAUCGGAAUCGCGAAAUUUUCAUUUUUCCGCGUUUUCCAUUUCCUAUAUAUAGUAUGAAAAAUGAAAAAAAAAAAACAAAAAAUUGCCAUUUGGAGAGGGAGUGGCCGAGAGCUUGGAGGAGAGAAAGAGGAGAAGUGAUUUUCGCCGUUUCUUGCCCGAUUGCUUCACCGUUCGUUGCUAAUCGAAGACAUCGAGGUUCGUUUGUGGAAACCUUGGGCUUGACUGAACAAGCUUGUGAGCGAGACCUGCACCGCGAGACUAGAACAACUCGAGACGUUCAACAGAUGAUUCAAGAAGGUUCGUCGUUCGGGGAGGACCCGGAGCGAAAUGACUACUACUGAGCCUUCGACGUGGACCCGGACUUCAUGGAAGAUCAGAUGAGGGUCGAAGAUAGUGGUGUAGGAUAUGGGUGGUUAGAGUUACUGAUUUUGGUUGUCAUGGUCAUAGCUCUGAUUCAUCAGUUGUAUUUUGGGGCAGGGUAGGUUCCCGACUAUUAGCUUUUUGUGUGAUUCUCUUCCAUGAGGAUCACAGGGAGUUUGUCGGGCGUAGGAAGUCUUUUGGAGGCCGUUUGGGGCUAAUUUAUUUUCUUGGAGGACUGUAGUUAUAAAGCUUGUGACUCUGACUAUGAGCCGCACUUAUUUGCCCGCGGGCACUACUUUCAAUUACUUAAUAUUACUUUCCGUCACUUGAGGACACUCGUGACGAUGUUUUUAGUUGCAGCAAGGGCUGUGCUUAUUUUGUAUA